rnacentral:rRNA from 1 species
UACAGAGGGGGCAAGCGUUGUUCGGAAUUACUGGGCGUAAAGGGCGCGUAGGCGGCCUUCUAAGUCGAACGUGAAAUCCCCGGGCUCAACCCGGGAACUGCGUCCGAUACUGGGAGGCUUGAAUCCGGGAGAGGGAUGCGGAAUUCCAGGUGUAGCGGUGAAAUGCGUAGAUAUCUGGAGGAACACCGGUGGCGAAGGCGGCAUCCUGGACCGGCAUUGACGCUGAGGCGCGAAAGCCAGGGGAGCAAAGCGG